rnacentral:rRNA from 1 species
UACGGAGGGAGCUAGCGUUAUUCGGAAUUACUGGGCGUAAAGCGCACGUAGGCGGCUUUGUAAGUUAGAGGUGAAAGCCUGGAGCUCAACUCCAGAAUUGCCUUUAAGACUGCAUCGCUUGAAUCCAGGAGAGGUGAGUGGAAUUCCGAGUGUAGAGGUGAAAUUCGUAGAUAUUCGCAAGAACACCAGUGGCGAAGGCGGCUCACUGGCCCGAUACUGACGCUGAGGCACGAAAGCGUGGGGAGCAAACAGG